rnacentral:rRNA from 1 species
UACGUAGGGUGCGAGCGUUAAUCGGAAUUACUGGGCGUAAAGCGUGCGCAGGCGGUUCGUUAUGUCUGAUGUGAAAGCCCCGGGCUCAACCUGGGAAUGGCAUUGGAAACUGGCGAGCUUAAGUGUGGCAGAGGGGGGUGGAAUUCCGCGUGUAGCAGUGAAAUGCGUAGAGAUGCGGAGGAACACCGAUGGCGAAGGCAGCCCCCUGGGCUAACACUGACGCUCAGGCACGAAAGCGUGGGGAGCAAACAGG